CUCUGUUGACAUUUUUUUUUAUCUCUCUUUUUUUUAUCUUAUCUUUUUUUUAUCUUUCUUUUAGAAAAUGGAAGUCACUUAAAAAAAUAUUGUUUAUCUUUCUGUUUGUGUGAAUUAGAAUUAAUAUACGAUCAAGAAGAAAUUUUUUUUUUGGAGAAUCAUGGAGUACGCAACUAAUCGAUAUAGAUGGCACAACUAGGUGGCUAAAGCAAAUCGAAUCGAAGGGGAAAGUUCCAGCCGGAACCUCUACCACUAGACCAAGAAGAGAAUAAUUAGGUUUGUGAUUUUCUUAACAAGUUUAUAUUGUACAAUGCUCGUUAGGACCUCUACAAACCAGAACAAAAAAAUUGAAAGAAGAGUAAUAUUGACUAACUAAACAAACCUCGAACGCUUUAACAACUGUGUAGAGAUCUACAAUAUAUUUUCCUCACGUGUUUUCAUUCUUGACGUCUUCAUAAUGAUCGACCAGAAAAUAUAUUACCACACUGCCAUUAAAAAUGUCUAGGUCAUGCAUUAUUGCUCCCAUUGCUUCACAUCAUUGCAGAGAUUUCACUUGUACCCGCCUUUUUCAUCAUAUAUAAAGUUAACAUAUGUCAUCAUUAAUCAUUGUCGUCGUUACAUCUCUUUGUUUAUUCCUAUACUUUUACUGUUUUCUUAUAUGAAUGAUGAUAACAAGUCCGAUAGCAAAUACUUUCGCCCAAUAAAACCUGUCCAUAGACUUCUAGUAAUAACUCAUUAAGAUCCGUACCUCGAACGGAAUUAAACAUUAUAUAAAAAUUAUUUUAGCUAUUAUAUAUUUUUUACAUAUUAUAAAAUAAUAAAUAUAUAUUUUACAAAUUAAGUAACUAUUACAUAUAUAAUUAAAUUGGUGCGAACAUAUAAAUAAAUUUUAUUAAUCCAAACAAUAUUUUUCUGUUUGAUAGGAUAUAUAAUUAAAUUUAAAUGAUAUUAACAUAUAAAAUAUAUUUUUAAUAUUAAUGUCUAUUAAAUGAUACUUUCUACUUAUAUGGUUUUUAUGAUCAUUUGUAUUUUUAUAUCAAAAAAUUUAAAUUACUGAUAACAAAAUUUUCACUGUGGAUUAAUAGUUUUAGUAAUUUAUAUUUUUAAAAAAUUAAGUUGUUAAUGUUUGUUCAAAACUUCUAUAAAAAAAAAUUGUUCAAAGUAAAUUUCGACAUUAAAAUAUUUAUGUAUUUUAUAUGGUAUAUAAUUGAAUUUAAAACGGUAUAUAUAUAUUAAUAAUUAAUUAAAUUAAAAUUUUUACUUAUAUGAUUUUUAAUCAUUUGUAUCUUGUCGUAACAAAAAUUUUAAACCAUGGAUCAAAAAAAUUGAAUGUGAGAAUUUUAACAGUUUUAAUAAUUUAUAGUCAUUUUUAAAAAUUCAAAAUAUAACAUAUACAGAAAAAUCUAAAUUUUUAUUAUAUGGUUAAUGUGGUUGUUUAAUUUAUUUUAAUAGUUUAAAAUUAAACAAAUAUGAUAGAAGAUACACUAAUUUUUAUCAAAUCCUUGCUAUUCAAAAUCAUUAAUUAUCAUAUAUACUUUAGCCACAUUAGGCAAUUCCGUAACUUUUAUUUAUGAAAAUAAUAAAGACUAUUAAUAAUGAAUUUAUGGUUAGUUUAAUAAAAAUCUUAUUAUAUAAUUAAAUGGGUCAACCUAUUUCUCUAAGGAUUCUAAGAAUCAUCUUAAUAAUGACAUGUGGCUACAAAAAAAAGUUAUAAUAUUUCUCAAUUAAUAUAUAGAAGAUUAGCAUAUGUUGUAUUCCCUAUCCUUCCUAAUAUAAGAUGUUUUAAAAUUUUGUACGUAAAUUUAAUGUUAUUUGUUAUCUUUAAUUUUUUAAAAAAUUACAGCUUAUUUUAGGACUGGUUAAGUUGAGUACAAUAACUAAUCAUUACAUAAUAUCUUAUAGAAACAUACAUUUUAUAAUUUACAUGAUUUUAUAAUUUACAUGAUUUUAAAAUUUUAACAAUAAAAUCUUACCUAUUGGAACAGAGAGUUUUACAUUGCCUUUGGAUCUCUUACCAGUGAAACUCCCUAAGUAUAAAGAAAUUUUAGUAGAACAAAACAUCAAUUUCAUCGACCCGCCAUUUAGGCGAUUUAUCAAACGCUAGCUAUUUUUAUUUAUUAAAAUACCUUUCUGCGUUAAUUAUCACAUCACAUAACCCGACAAUGCAUAGUGGUGGGUAGGACCGUUUUUUUCCGUCACGGGGUCUCGUCUUCUACUAAUUUCGCAAAAAAAAACUAAAAUAUUAAUGACUUGAGUUUUUUAUCCCUAUAAAUUAAUGAGAAUUUGUUUUACUCUCUUAACAAUAAUUCAGAAAGUAUAGGCAUUGGGGGCCUAAGCCCAUUAUGGACAGGCACCCUCGAUGUCAUGAACAAGCUUGUUUUGGUUGAGAUGCCGUGAACAAGUUGUUGUACGUAACAGAAACUCAGAUAGUAUAAAAUAUAUGAUCAAAUAGAUUCGUUUAAAAAGCGUCACACUUGAGACAUUUUCAUUUAAUUUACAUACAUGAUAGAUGAUUUUGGUUCUUGAUUUAAGUUUUGAUUCCGUAUUCGAAUGGGAAGAGAGGGUCGUCUUUCGUGUCGCCAGCGUGUAUCGGAAGCUUAUCAACACUAUUCAUCCACGUGCAUGGCAACAUGCCGUUGAAGGGAUGAUCGCCAAACAAGACUCAGCAUCUCCUUCGGUUCCUGGAAGCCAAGCGACUGAAAGAGCGUCGAUGGUGCCAGGCAGAACCGGCUCAACACUGUUACGGACCCUAAGACG
rnacentral:lncRNA from 1 species